UAUUAGUCAAAUAAUUAUUUGUGUUAGAACCAUAGAUUACGAAUUCAACAUCUGCGAUGAAUUUCUAAAAUUCCAUUCUUUUCACGGUCAUGUAAAUAGAAAAAGUACUUUUGAUGCUUUUGAGAAGCAUGUACUCUCACUCCAAUUGACAGAUAAAAUGUCAUCAAUUUGCACUGAACGAGCUGCCACCAUGAAAGUGUGGUGUGCAGUUCGGAUUCAUAGCGACAAUUCACCGGCCAUACAUUUUCUGCGCGGUCGAAUUAUUUUGGUUGACUUGAAAUUUAACACAGUCGCAUCAUAAUUCAAGCCUAAAGGCAAGUGCAAGCUACAAGAAAGACCAAGGUGGUUACAUAAAGUGCAGUGGAGUGAUAUAGAUUUUGUGUUGACUAUAAAGAAAUUUGUUUGUCAAUUGCCCAAGUGAGCGCAUUCUCUUGUACCCAAAAAGGGCCUGGAAAUUUCUCGAAGCCUAAUGCGAUUGGUGGUGGGAUAUUGCGGCUACCUUACUUAUAUUUUUGCAACAAGCAUCCCCGGGGACCAUUCUCCCUACAAACAGGACCAUGUCCCGCACCUCGACCGUUCACAUUACAGAAGGACACAAUUGAUGCACUUUACCACAAACGUCUGGGCGAGUAUCGCGUGAAGUACCCUUUCUCGAUAUAAAGCGACACCGCUCCGCCGACCACACACACUCACAGCUGCAUUAGCCACACACCUAAUAUUUAAGUAAACCUGACCAAUAUCCCUUAACACUGUUUAGCCAACUAAGCAACCCAUAUCUUUCACUUCCUACUAGACACACAACACUUAUUCAAAUAAGCAUCCUAUUUCUUUCACUUGCUUAUAAUCGUACGACCCACGCAAAUAUGUGACCCAUUGCGGUUCACACUAGACACUUCACUUCUCACUUGGAGCAUAAGCACUUUUGUAUUUCUCUUGUAGUAACUCUUUGUAUAUUGCCGCUAUGCAGAAUUACCGGAAGGCUGACCUACUCUAGGCACGAUCUUAAUGCCCUCACCGACGACAUGGCGCCGCGGCCGGCGUCCACGAAGCGUCUGGAGGUAUAUUUAAAGGACCACUCUCCAAGGAGAGGCAGUCUUAGAUGAGACACAGAACAAGUGACAUAGUGCAACUUCAAAUAAACCAAUCUUAUAACGUUAAA